AGAGGGAUAGCCCAGAGAAAUUUGGAUUAAUACCCCAUAGUAUAAUUGAAUGGCAUCAUUUGAUUAUUAAAGUUCCAACGGUAUAAGAUGAGCAUGCGUCCCAUUAGCUAGUUGGUGUGGUAACGGCACACCAAGGCGACGAUGGUAGGGGUCCUGAGAGGGAGAUCCCCCACACUGGUACUGAGACACGGACCAGACUCCUACGGGAGGCAGCAGUGAGGAAUAUUGGUCAAUGGGCGCAAGCCUGAACCAGCCAUGCCGCGUGCAGGAUGACGGUCCUAUGGAUUGUAAACUGCUUUUGUACAGGAAGAAACACUCCCUCGUGAGGGAGCUUGACGGUACUGUAAGAAUAAGGAUCGGCUAACUCCGUG
rnacentral:rRNA from 1 species